ensembl:lncRNA
AGAUCCAUAUUUACUGAGCAUCUACUAAGCACUAGUUUUUUUGUCUGUUUGUUUUUCAAAAAUUGUUUUAGAUGCCAGGGAUACAGCAGUGAGCAAGUUAGACCACGAAUCGUGCCCUCAAGGAGCCCACAGCCUAGGGAAGGAGACAGACCAAAAAAAAAAAAAAAAAAGGACAUCAAAAAGACUUCUCCUGCCUCUCCUCCCCCAUUCUCCCAUCCUUCCAGGCCCUGCCCAAAUCCCACUUCCUCUGGGACAUCUUCUCCACAAGCCCAGAUCCAAGUAAUAACUCCUCUCGUCUCUCACAGUGCUUCCCCUCCACCAUUGGAAAAGUGAUAUGUGCAUUGCAUGAAAAUGUAGAAAAUACAUGAAAAGACAACAAAAAAGAAAGAUCCUCUAUAAUUUCAUUACCAAGAAUUAAGCGCGCCACUUCCUUCUGGUCUUUUUCUCCUUCUACUGGUGGCGUGCAGGCUCUCAGUGUGACCCAUGAGAUCGAAUUCCCUCAUCAGGGAUUGAACCCGGGCCCCUUGCAUUGGGAGCGUGGAGCCUUAGCCACGGGACCACCAGGAUUUCAGGACUAGAAACCUUUCUGCACAUGGACUAAUCAGACUGGCCAGCACCGUGAGCUAGACUGCCUGCUGGGUCCUGACCAUCCAAAGAUGAUCAGAUAUCGUUUCAGCUCUGGAGAUCCUGCCCCCG